rnacentral:sRNA from 1 species
UUAUAACGUUAAACGAAUAUUCGAUUAUAAACGAAAUUAUAACAAAACAAAAUAUUUUAUUAAAUGGGAAAAUUAUAAAUAUAAAAAGAAUAUUUGGAAACCUUUUAACCAUUUUUAGGAUUUCCAGGAACCAUUCCGCCAAUAUUAUUAGAAAUUGGAUUUGCGAGCAAAUUAACCAAAAAAAGGACAACUUAAAAAAAUACCACCUAUUAUUCCCAGAAAUUAAAAACCGAGCGGGAUUCGAAAUUAUACCAUUAAACGAACCUGUGGAGGAACAAUUAAUAUAUACCAAAUCGGAAUAUAUAAACAAAAUAAUUUAUUAACCAAAUAUUGCGCAAAAAUAUUUAUUUUAUCCAAUAAAAAAGAAUUUAAAGGACCUAUUGGGAAGGUCGAAUUCCAAACAAAAUUGGAAUCCGGAAAAAGUAAUUUUAAAAAUAUUUUAAAUAAAAUUUCGGCUAACCGACGACGUUUUUCCUAUUCCGCCUCCUUAUAUUCCACCCGAUCCAAUUCCUCCAAAUUAUUAAUUCCGCGAAAUAUAAUUCGCAUUAUUUUUUUAAAUUAUAUCCGUUUUUGUUUUCGAAGGCGUUUAAUUUUCGUAUUAAUUUAAUAACGCGUUUUUUUAACGGCCUUUAUUUCGGAUUCCAUUUAAAUAUAUUAAAAGCCAAUAUUCCGGAUUUUUACGGAAAAAAAACCCAAUAUAUUAUAAUUAAAACAAUUAAAAUGCAAAUAUUCCAUAUAACGAAAAAAAUCCUGGGGAAAAACCGAAUAUUUGGCCACCCCACGAAAUUUAUACGAGGAAUAAAAAGGCAUUUCCACCGUUAACGCCAGGAAAGAAAAAAAAAGGGCGGAUCGGCGUUUUGUCGACGAACGACCAAAUUUAGGUUUGGUUACGCAAUUAAAUAUAACGCAGGAAAAUUAACCAAAAGGGAAAAAAAACCAAAAUAAAAAUUAAGGGAAUACGGAUUAUUUAAAAGCCAAAGGGAUUUGGCCAAAAAAAGGAAACCUAAUAUUACAACCAAAUAAUUGGGCCAAUACCAGGAAGGCCAGGUGGGGUUAUACCUUUUUUAACGAUAUCCGCCCAGAAAAAUUACCGACCGGCAAAAUAAAAAUUAUAUAAAAAGGAAUUACAUAAUUUUACAUAAUUGUUAAAAAAAUAAUUUUAAUAAUUUUUUGGGAUUAUAACAAAUUAAGGGAAAUAAUUUCACUAAUCCAGUAAAAUUAAGGAAAUUAUAUUCGAAAUAUAAUUUAUAUAA